rnacentral:piRNA from 1 species
UCAAGACUCACUGGACAGGGCCAGGA